rnacentral:rRNA from 1 species
UACCAGCCCCCUGAGUGGUAGGGACGAUUAUUUGGCCUAAAGCGUCCGUAGCCGGCUUGGCAAGUCUUUCGUCAAAUCCGACGAUUCCAUCGUCGGACCGCGGAAGAUACUACUAGGCUCGAGGACGGGAGAGGUCGACGGUAGUCUCGGGGUAGGGGUGAAAUCCUAUAAUCCUGGGAGGACCACCAGUGGCGAAGGCGGUCGACUAGAACGUGCCUGACGGUGAUGGACGAAAGCUGGGGGAGCGAACCGGAUUAGACACCCGGGUAGUCCCGGCCGUAAACGAUGCGAGCUAGGUGUUGGAGCAACUACGGGUUGCUCCAGUGCCGCAGAGAAGUUGUUAAGCUCGCCGCCUGGGAAGUACGGCCGCAAGGCUGAAACUUAAAGGAAUUGGCGGGGGAGCACCACAAGGGGGGAAGCCUGCGGUUC